rnacentral:rRNA from 1 species
UACAGAGGGUGCGAGCGUUGUUCGGAAUUACUGGGCGUAAAGCGCGCGCAGGCGGCCCUUUAAGUCCGUCGGUCAAAUGCCGGGGCUCAACCCUGAUGCAUGCCGAGGAUACUGGAGGGCUGGAGACACGUAGAGGCAAGCGGAAUUCCGGGUGUAGCGGUGGAAUGCGUAGAGAUCCGGAAGAACACCGGAGGCGAAGGCGGCUUGCUGGGCGUGAUCUGACGCUGAGGCGCGAAAGCGUGGGGAGCGAACAGG